CGCGGCUGCUCUGCCUGCUUCUGCCCAUGGGGACUGGAGGAAGCGAGAGAGAGAGAGCCUUGGGGGCGGCGGGGUCCGCCGCGGGUCGGCAGCCCGAGGGAAUUCUGAAAUGGAGAUGGCUGCAGGAAAAUUUGGAUCCAGAGGUUCCACCAGUGUUUUCAGGAUUUCUCCACCCUUCUUCCAUUUCUCAGUCUGUUACCUCUGCCUGGCUUCAUGCUCAGUCAGGCUUUCUCCACAUCACAGCAAAGUGUCUACUGGUAGCUCCCAAUUCCAGAGAAGGAGGGAACAUCUUUCCUAAGAACCCCUGCAAAAGUCCAGGAGAAUACAGUGCUUGGCCAGGCCCAGGCAAUUGCUUCCCCCUAUACUGGUGUCAGAAGGAAAAAGGCUGAAUUUAUAAACAG
rnacentral:lncRNA from 1 species